UACGUAGGGUGCGAGCGUUGUUCGGAUUCAUUGGGCGUAAAGGGUGCGUAGGCGGCGCGGUAAGUCGGGUGUGAAAUCUCGGAGCUUAACUCCGAAACUGCAUUCGAUACUGCCGUGCUUGAGGACUGGAGAGGAGACUGGAAUUUACGGUGUAGCGGUGAAAUUCGUAGAUAUCGGGAGGAACACCGGUGGCGAAGGCGGCGAUCUGGGUCGAUACUGACGCUGAGGUGCGAAAGCGUGGGGAGCAAACAGGG
rnacentral:rRNA from 1 species